rnacentral:lncRNA from 1 species
AAAACUUAUAAAAUUCAGGUCAAUCUUUACGCCGUCGGUGAUAUGUCCGUGGCAAAUUUAUUAAGUCCAUAUCAAACACAUUAUAUAUCACAAAACCGUAAUGCAAUCUUGUAGAAAAAACAGAUAAAGAUGCUUUAAGUUCAGGGAUGACUUAUAAUACGAGGUUGCGGUUUUCCUUUAUGUGCAUAUGAGUGAAAAAAUCGUGCAAGUGUAUGUCCAAUGUUAUUUGUCCGGCGUUAUUGACUUAUACCUGAGCUUAUCAUCGAUGUAAUAGUGGUUUAUUCAGUCUAUACUUUUGAUGCGAAUCGUUCAGGUCCUCUUUCAGUCUGCUGUUGAAACAAGGAAAACUUAUUGUUUCAAAAUAUAAAAAAUACAUAUGAAAUCCUACUCCGUAAUACAUCUUGAUAAUUCAUUAUAAUGUUCCAGUCAUGAUGAUUUUAAAGGCUGUUUGACAAUAUGCAGGCUUUAUGAUCUCAGACGCAGCAUCCUCUUGAUAUUUAGUUCAUAUGAUUACUCGCAGUUAUCUUACGCAGAAACCCAGAAAAAAGGUACACAUUUAAACACCUUGUCAGGAACCUGUAGUCACAGUUAUUUGUUUUGAAUUUACUUUGAUUAUUAUUAGUGUAUAAUUUAUAUGUAUUUCAUGGCGAUCGCAAUAUCAUUGUUAAAUAUUUAAUUGUCACAAUGAAUUUAUAAAAUUAUUUAUAUCCUCGCUUUUCAAAAACUGGAGGUAUACUGUUUUACCUCUGUCCGUUCGUCUGUCCUUCUGUCCGUCCGUCCGUCUGUCCUUCCGUCCCAGGAAUAUUUUAGUUAGGGGCGCAAAUUUAAAUUUUCGCUGAACGGAGCGAGUCGAAAACAAUUUUUGAGGUCAAAUUAUCGAAAUAUUCUUUAAGUGGGUGCAAUGAAGAUAUCUCGCCAAGCUAAACGUUGCGAUACAUAUUUUGUUGUAUAAUUAGCGAGAAAUUAAAGUUUCAAGCUAAAACCGCCUAAAUUCACCCCUGACAACAAUUUAAAAUCACCAUAAUAAUCAACAUUUUCAAUAUACAAUCUAGAGCAUACACCUCAUACAUGCAACACAAAGUAUAUAUUAGUUAGGACGAGGUAAAUGUGAAGAGUUGACAAAUAGAAAGGCGGAUCGAGGGACGCAAAGUGAGACGAGACAUAUGACAAUAGCACACCUGACCAAUAUUAGAUUUUGCAAACGAACUUGAAUUUCUACUUUUACAAGCAAUUUUUAAUUGCCUUUUUAUAAUAUCUGUUUUUAAUUUUAUGAUUUUCGGAGGUUGUAUAUACUGUUUUCGCCGAAAAUCUCUAAAAUCAGAGUGAGAUGCUUUUACGAAGUUAUGUUUAUUUUCUUGGGAUUCCGUGUUAUAUGGAAGUACGUGUCGGGGGGCUUAACCGCUUAUGCAUACUUUUGCAAGAAAGAAAUAUAUAGACACGGUCAAAUUAAAUAAUGAUAAAAAUUAGUAACCUAACCUUUCGGUUGGACCAGUAUUUCUAUCUUUCAUUAAGAUGGAAUCUAACCUGGACUGUUUUAUUGGCCGUGCCAUGAUGAAAUAACCAACGCAACCGCGGGUAGGGCACUGUCAUGUACUUCGUGGGAAAGUGAGUUAGGGUUGUUUGGGAACUUCGAUUAUCGAAGAAAUUGUUUAUAAAACCGCAAUGUAACAAUUGUCUUUACUUAAACACCUAUAAUAUUUGUCAUCAAAUGCAGCACCGCGUUUGACACCUUUUUUAGAAGUAUAUUUAUAGAACUAAAAUAAACCGUGGAUCAGUUCAUUAAUAAUCAAUUAAUUAAUUCUGUUAAACUGUUUUAUAAAUAUACUUGGAAUGUUAAAAUGGAUGGAAUGCGACGACAUCAAUAUUCGUAGUCUCUAUAGAAACUUCAUUAAGCUGAGGACAACCCAUGCUUUGCAAAUUUUAGGGGGGUGGCGCACGAUUGGCACGCCGCC